UACGUAGGGUGCAAGCGUUAAUCGGAAUUACUGGGCGUAAAGCGUGCGCAGGCGGUGAUGUAAGACAGAUGUGAAAUCCCCGGGCUUAACCUGGGAAUUGCGAUGGAGACUGCAAGGCUGGAGUCUGGCAGAGGGGGGUAGAAUUCCACGUGUAGCAGUGAAAUGCGUAGAGAUGUGGAGGAACACCGAUGGCGAAGGCAGCCCCCUGGGUCAAGACUGACGCUCAUGCACGAAAGCGUGGGGAGCAAACAGG
rnacentral:rRNA from 1 species